GACGAACGCUGGCGGCGUGCCUAAUACAUGCAAGUAGAACGCUGAAGCUUGGUGCUUGCCCCGAGCGGAUGAGUUGCGAACGGGUGAGUAACGCGUAGGUAACCUGCCUGGUAGCGGGGGAUAACUAUUGGAAACGAUAGCUAAUACCGCAUAAGAGUAGAUGUUGCAUGACAUUUGCUUAAAAGGUGCAAUUGCAUCACUACCAGAUGGACCUGCGUUGUAUUAGCUAGUUGGUGAGGUAACGGCUCACCAAGGCAACGAUACAUAGCCGACCUGAGAGGGUGGUCGGCCACACUGGGACUGAGACACGGCCCAGACUCCUUCGGGAGGCAGCAGUAGGGAAUCUUCGGCAAUGGACGGAAGUCUGACCGAGCAACGCCGCGUGAGUGAAGAAGGUUUUCGGGUCGUAAAGCUCUGUUGUAAGAGAAGAACGAGUGUGAGAGUGGAAAGUUCACACUGUGACGGUAGCUUACCAGAAAGGGACGGCUAACUACGUG
rnacentral:rRNA from 1 species